CUCAGGCUGUGACACUCUAGAGGGAAGCACUUUCUGUUUUCUGAAAGAAAGGAAAGUGCAUCCUUUUAGAGUGUUACUGUUUGAG
rnacentral:pre_miRNA from 1 species